rnacentral:misc_RNA from 1 species
UGGUUCUGGCAACGAUGAAGAACGCAGCAAAAUGCGAUAAUUAAUGUGAAUUGCAGAUUUCAGUGAAUCAUCGAGUUUUUGAACGCACAUUGCGCCCCUCGGUACUCCGGGGGGCAUACCUGUCUGAGCGUCGUUUCGACCCUCGAGCCCUGCUCGGUGUUGGGUGGCCGUCCCCAUGUGGGACGCACGCAAAAGUGGUCAGCGGCUGCCAUUUGGCUAUCCGGCGUAGCAGAGCAAUAUUCGCUGAGGUGCCUGUGGCUGCUUGCUAUAGGCUUCGAGUCUAUAAUCACCCCAAGCGAUUGACCUCAGAUCAGGUAGGGAUACCCGCUGA